ACAUUUCAAUUGAUGCUGACGAUUAAUUUCAUUUUGGUUAUAGCUUUACAUUUACAUAGCAGCCAUUUUGCUUUCCAAAAUGGCAUGUUGUUCCAGCUUAGUUAAGACGAUGGAAAUGUGGUUUACAUUUGUUAUUUUUAAGUUUGAAAAACUUGACAAUUACAGAUUUCUUUGUAAGAUUUAUCAUGCCAGGUGAAGUCUGGGUUUCUUUGUUGCAGUACGUGGAUUUGUUGCAGUCAUCCAGUGAAAGGUGUGAAUAAAUUGAGCUGUUGCAUGCAGUCUUUGGUUCCGAUGUUGUCCUGGAGUGUGGGAGAGUUCCAUGCUUCAAGUCUUAUUGGAUAAGCCAUAUCUGAGUUGACAGUGGAUCAUGCUGUGUUGUGGUUGCCGAAAUGUUGGACAUCUAGUAGAACUGCAAGAAGCCUUCUUGAAAUGGUUAGUGAUGUUGCUUUCCAAUAUGGCAUGUUGUUGCAGCCUACACUGGUGAAAGAAUUUUUGCAUCGAGUUAUACUGUUGCUGUUCCUUGGUGCCGGACUGCUGGUGUUGUGCACAAAAGUUACAUCCAGUUUUAAUUGUUA